rnacentral:lncRNA from 1 species
UCCGAGGACCUCCCGUUGGUUUCGCCGUGGUCGUCCGGGCUCUCCUAGGAAUCUCUGUUAAGGUUAGUAUAGAAAUAUGAGGAGUAUGCACAUGUGUAUAUAAAAAAAAAUCACCUCAUGUUAGUUGUUAAGAUUUUUACUAUAUAUACUGUAUAUAAGAUGUAGCUUCAGUGCACAAUGUGAAGUUACAAUACAAGUCCACACUCACAUGCAGCGUGUGGUAUUUGCAGUAUUUCAUGGUAUUUUUCGUCCUCUUAGGGUGAGAUUGGAGAAUCUGGUCCUAAAGUAAGUCAUCUACUGCUCAAUGAACAAUUUACCAUUUAAAAUUUUAUAUAAAAUAUACAUGCAAAAUUCAUCAUAAAUGUGUGAUUAUGAUGCUUCUCACAUUCUUCAGGGUCCGCGUGGAAAACCGGGUCUGAAAGGAGAAAAGGGGGAGCAUGGAAGUAAUGUUAGUGCAUGCUUUAAGACUUACUCUUUUAAAGCUACUCUAUGCAUUGUUUAUUAUUUUUUGAUUUUAUACUAAAAAUGCAAAUACUUUUCUAUCCCAGAUUAAUAUGUAGAAACAGCUAGAAGCAAACUUCAAAAAAUAUUUUUCAAAGUUGUAGAUAAAUAAAACAAAGAUUUUUUUGUGUAGGAAAUACUUUAAAAAUGUCCUGUUUUAUAUGCAAUUAUCUUUAAAAAAAUUUGGUAGCAAUUUUUGUUUUAUUGAAUGUAAGCCAUUAAGUAGGUUGUGUUUUAAUUAUUAUAAAAUGAAAAAGUGGAUGUGUUUUCCUAGGGUCUACCAGGUUUACCAGGACCAGUGGGAGUGGAUGGACUUUCAGGACUUCCUGGGCAGAAGGGGGAGAAGGGAGAGGAAGGUAUCGGAGUUCAGGGUGUUCAAGGUCCACUUGGGCCAAAAGGAGAAAAGGGUAAUACAGGACUACAAGGCCCAAAGGUAAGCAUGUUGCAUUUAAAAUCAAUGGAGCAGAGUAAAAGACAACUGUCUUGUGCAAUGUGUAAUUUGUAGUUUCCAUAUUCAUCCAAAGGGAGAAGCAGGAAUCCAAGGAGUCCAGGGAAUCACAGGCCCUCGGGUUUGUCAAAAUAUACACAACUAUUUCAGCAUCAAAGUGUUUAGUCUGUCAGUUCGUGCUGUUAAAUUAUGUCUGUCUUUCACAAAGAAUCAUCAUGAACCAUUUAACAGAUGUCAACUUUAGAUGCAAUUUUGUUUAAUAAAUGUUAAGUGCUUCUUUAUGACAGGGGUGUUUCACUGUUGUUGUGUUUUUGUCUGUGUUUAGGGGAAAAAGGGUCUUAAAGGGGAUCAAGGAGACAAGGUAUGAUUUUACACAAUUUAGUCAGGUACAUGACUUUCUUACUGCUCUGUUUUUACCAAUUUGCUCUUUCUCUAAAUAAAAAUAAAUAAAUAAAAAUCAAUCACAUCAAGUCAGUGCUUUUGUCUAGUGCUGCGGCUGCUCUGUAUUUAAUAACCUGAUCCAUAAUACAUCCUACUUGACUUUGUUCAAAAAUGUUCAAUCAGUUCAGUUCACUAGUAUCAUAGUCAGAACCUCAUUGAAAUCUGGAAUAUUUCUUAAACAUCAAAUGCACUAAACAUCAACAUCAGCUGCUUGUUGUCUGGAGUAUUUGAAU